GACGAACGCUGGCGGCGUGCCUAAUACAUGCAAGUUGAGCGCUGAAGGUUGGUACUUGUACCAACUGGAUGAGCAGCGAACGGGUGAGUAACGCGUGGGGAAUCUGCCUUUGAGCGGGGGACAACAUUUGGAAACGAAUGCUAAUACCGCAUAAAAACUUUAAACACAAGUUUUAAGUUUGAAAGAUGCAAUUGCAUCACUCAAAGAUGAUCCCGCGUUGUAUUAGCUAGUUGGUGAGGUAAAGGCCCACCAAGGCGAUGAUACAUAGCCGACCUGAGAGGGUGGUCGGCCGCAUUGGGACUGGGACCCGGCCCAAACUCCUUCGGGAAGCAGCAGUAGGGAAUCUUCGGCAAUGGGCGGAAGUCUUACCGAGCAACGCCGCGUGAGUGAAGAAGGUUUUCGGGUCGUAAAACUCUGUUGGUAGGGAAGAACGUUGGUUAGAGUGGAAAGCUCAUCAAGUGACGGUAACUACUCAGAAAGCGACGGCUAACUACGUG
rnacentral:rRNA from 1 species